CGCGGCCUAUCAGCUUGUUGGUGAGGUAAUGGCUCACCAAGGCAUCGACGGGUAGCUGGUCUGAGAGGACGAUCAGCCACACUGGGACUGAGACACGGCCCAGACUCCUACGGGAGGCAGCAGUAGGGAAUCUUGCGCAAUGGGGGAAACCCUGACGCAGCAACGCCGCGUGUGGGAUGACGGCUUUCGGGUUGUAAACCACUUUCAGUGAUGACGAAAAUGACGGUAAUCACAGAAGAAGGUCCGGCCAACUACGUGCCAGCAGCCGCGGUAACACGUAGGGACCGAGCGUUGUCCGGAUUUAUUGGGCGUAAAGAGCUCGUAGGCGGUUCUGUAAGUCGGAUGUGAAAACUCAGGGCUCAACCCUGAGACGCCAUCUGAUACUGCAGUGACUAGAGUCCGGUAGAGGAAGACGGAAUUCCUGGUGUAGCGGUGGAAUGCGCAGAUAUCAGGAGGAACACCAAUGGCGAAGGCAGUCUUCUGGGCCGGUACUGACGCUGAGGAGCGAAAGCAUGGGGAGCAAAUAGGAUUAGAUACCCUGGUAGUCCAUGCCGUAAACGUUGGGCACUAGGUGUGGGGUCUUCUAACGGAUUCCGUGCCGUAGCUAACGCAUUAAGUGCCCCGCCUGGGGAGUACGG
rnacentral:rRNA from 1 species